GACGAACGCUGGCGGCGUGCUUAACACAUGCAAGUCGAGCGAUGAAGCUCUUUCGGGAGUGGAUUAGCGGCGGACGGGUGAGUAACACGUGGGUAACCUGCCUCAUAGAGGGGAAUAGCCUUUCGAAAGGAAGAUUAAUACCGCAUAAGAUUGUAGUAUCGCAUGAUACAGCAAUUAAAGGAGUAAUCCGCUAUGAGAUGGACCCGCGUCGCAUUAGCUAGUUGGUGAGGUAACGGCUCACCAAGGCGACGAUGCGUAGCCGACCUGAGAGGGUGAUCGGCCACAUUGGGACUGAGACACGGCCCAGACUCCUACGGGAGGCAGCAGUGGGGAAUAUUGCACAAUGGGGGAAACCCUGAUGCAGCAACGCCGCGUGAGUGAUGACGGUCUUCGGAUUGUAAAGCUCUGUCUUCAGGGACGAUAAUGACGGUACCUGAGGAGGAAGCCACGGCUAACUACGUGCCAGCCGCCGCCGUAA
rnacentral:rRNA from 1 species